rnacentral:rRNA from 1 species
CUACGGGACGCACCAGUAGGGGAUCUUCGGCAAUGGACGGAAGUCUGACCGAGCAACGCCGCGUGAGUGAAGAAGGUUUUCGGAUCGUAAAGCUCUGUUGUAAGAGAAGAACGAGUGUGAGAGUGGAAAGUUCACACUGUGACGGUAUCUUACCAGAAAGGGACGGCUAACUACGUGCCAGCAGCCGCGGUAAUACGUAGGUCCCGAGCGUUGUCCGGAUUUAUUGGGCGUAAAGCGAGCGCAGGCGGUUAGAUAAGUCUGAAGUUAAAGGCUGUGGCUUAACCAUAGUACGCUUUGGAAACUGUUUAACUUGAGUGCAGAAGGGGAGAGUGGAAUUCCAUGUGUAGCGGUGAAAUGCGUAGAUAUAUGGAGGAACACCGGUGGCGAAAGCGGCUCUCUGGUCUGUAACUGACGCUGAGGCUCGAAAGCGUGGGGAGCAAACAGGAUUAGAUACCCGUGUAGUC